rnacentral:rRNA from 1 species
GAUGAACGCUGGCGGCGUGCCUAAUACAUGCAAGUCGAGCGAACAGACGAGGAGCUUGCUCCUCUGACGUUAGCGGCGGACGGGUGAGUAACACGUGGAUAACCUACCUAUAAGACUGGGAUAACUUCGGGAAACCGGAGCUAAUACCGGAUAAUAUAUUGAACCGCAUGGUUCAAUAGUGAAAGACGGUUUUGCUGUCACUUAUAGAUGGAUCCGCGCCGCAUUAGCUAGUUGGUAAGGUAACGGCUUACCAAGGCAACGAUGCGUAGCCGACCUGAGAGGGUGAUCGCCCACACUGGAACUGAGACACGGUCCAGACUCCUACGAGAGGCAGCAGUAGGCAAACUUCCGCAAUGAGCGAAAGCCUGACGGAACAACGCCGCGUGAGUGAUGAAGGUCUUCGGAUCGUAAAACUCUGUUAUUAGGGAAGAACAAAUGUGUAAGUAACUAUGCACGUCUUGACGGUACCUAAUCAGAAAGCCACGGCUAACUACGUG